rnacentral:tRNA from 1 species
GGAGCGGUGGUGCAGUGGGUAGCAUUGUCACCUCAUAGCAAGAAGGUCCUGGGUUCGAAUCCGACCUGGCCUU